AUGAUGCAAGACGUGACUCAAGCGGUGGAGAGGAACAAGGGCUUUCAGAAACAGCCUGAGAUCCUCAACAGCAAGGUUUGGGGGAAGACCAUUCAGGCCAUCUCGUUCCUGUUUCCUUUUAAAGCAAGGAACAACCAUUGUAAAGAAUCCAAGUUACCAUGGAAACAGAGUCAACUGCACAAAUGCCCGGCUGUCCCGUCUUCAAUCAGCUGUUAGUUUGGUCUUGCUUCUCUGGUGUACUAUGGUGAGUGACUCAUCUGUUCAUUCUGAGUGGUGGGACACAUCAUACUGUCGCCAUCAUGGUUAAGGCUUAACAUUGAUUUGAUUAUACAGAUUUCAACCUGUUGGUUUAAGUCACCAGAAGCGAAAGGAUUCCCAAAUAUAGAUUCAGUUUAGAUUGUCCUAUUUAUAUUGUGUGUGUGUAUAUGGUCUGUGGAGGAUGGCAGGUUCUUUCGAUAUGAUAUUCUCAACAAAUGGGUCGACUACAACAUAAUAAUUUCCCGUAAGUCCAAAAUCGAAGAAUGACGGUUAUGUAAGAAUGACUAUACACAGAAGUACACUCGAGUCUAUUAAACUACAGGUUCACAUCCUACUGUGUUAGCUAACUGCUGGGUGUCUUCUGAGCGAGACACUUAGCCUAAGUGCCUCUGGAAAUAUCCAGGGGAAUUAGUGGAGAUCUUGUAAAACCAUCAGCCGUGUAAGUCACCCCAGCCAGGUUUCUGCUAACACUCCAAUAAUGAUAAUAUAUUCAGUGUUUGACUGAACCUGAAAAGGUCUUUGUAAGCUGAACCUGUGACUCAUUCAUUAUUCAUGGUAGUCAAGUGGUUGCCAUGCCUCACAGACUACUUGUGGGAACCUUGUGUGGCUCCUUGAGCUGCCGUGUGUCUGCUGCCAGCUACGCUCGGACUAUCGCCAAAUGACCGCAGCCUGUCCCGAAAGCUCAGAACGCCGAGCAUGAGCUGAAGAACAUGAGCUUCGCUGCUCUAGUGCCACCUCUUGGCCAUCAACAUCAGUACAUUGCUAGAGGCACCGGGAGAGGGAGGGCUUUCAUUGGUCAUCUUGGUUGAAACAGCAGAGAGGAAGAGGUGAAGUGAUAGGUUUUACUCUGCCCAAAAUCUGUCCACGAAAAUAAACCCACAAAGUGAGGAAUUUUUGUAUGGGGGUCAAUGAGAGAGUGUCGAAAUUGGUCAACAAAACAUUGAAUUGCUCAUUUGCUCCAUGAGGCUUAUUUGAUUGAAUAGAAGUUUCAUAAUGGUUAGGUUGUUACGAAUGCACUGAUGAGAGAGAGAUAUAAUAUGUUUUGGCAUUGAGGGCUUCCACUAUCUUAAAAUAGUCAACUGGGUGGGGAUUCCUAUGAGUUGGGAGCAAUCAGCCAAUGAAGAAGAAGGAAAUGUACUAUUUUAAAAUGGAGAUAGCCUCAACUUCUAAAAUCUUAACAACUUGGACGUGCUCACAUUUCCUGAUUUCCUUGUCCCAAAUGUUUCAUUCCGUCCAUCCUCAACCCCAGGACGUGGGUGCUCACAAUACACAAUGAUUCCCCAGUUGAUCCUGCCAUGCUUUUCUCGGUUGUCAUAGGGGGGGAAAUGCUGACGUAAGUUAAGAUUUUAGAAGUUGUCUAGUGUAUGACCAACAUUCUGGGCCAUGAGUGACAAGAAGCAGCAGCUCUACAACACCUUGAUGCAGAAGCUGUAGGGAUCCACCAAUGGAGAGAGUAUGUUAGGGAGAGGAAUAAAGAGAGAAAGGUAUCUUGGUCAUUUGAAAAGCGAUAAUAUACUUAAGGGAAUCCUAAAAAGCCAAACAAGUUUAAUUUUAAGAUGCACAGGUUAACUGAUUUAAGACCAUGGCAUGUGUCCAUGUGUCUUCAGAGAGAGAACUGACCAAUGGGAUGAUACUCAUCUUCUGCACAUUUAUCACUCCAGUGUUUAAUUGCUAUAUUGUAAUUAUUUUGCCACUAUGGCCUAUUCAUUGCCUUACCUCCCUUAUCCUACCUCAUUUGCACACACUGUAUAUAGACUUUUUCUAUUGAAUUAUUGACUGUAUGUUUGUUUAUUCCAUGUGUAACUCUGUGUUGUUUGUGUCGCACUGCUUUGCUUUAUCUUGGCCAGGUUGCAGUUGUAAAUGAGAACUUGUUCUCAACUGGCCUACCUGGUUAAAUAAAGGUGAAAUGAAUAAAAACAGUUGAAAAAGAUGGUCAAUCAUCCACUGCUGCACCGGUAGCAUUAUACCACCACUAAACUGACUGCUAUGAGUGACUCAUGCUCAAGGUC
rnacentral:lncRNA from 1 species